rnacentral:rRNA from 1 species
UACGUAGGGUGCAAGCGUUAAUCGGAAUUACUGGGCGUAAAGCGUGCGCAGGCGGUUUCGUAAGUCUGCCGUGAAAUCCCCGGGCUCAACCUGGGAAUGGCAUUUGGGACUGCAAGGCUGGAGUGUGGCAGAGGAGACUGGAAUUCCUGGUGUAGCAGUGAAAUGCGUAGAUAUCAGGAGGAACACCUAUGGCGAAGGCAGCUCGCUGGGACGGUACUGACGCUGAGGCGCGAAAGCGUGGGGAGCGAACAGG